rnacentral:ncRNA from 1 species
GCUAGGGGAGCAAAUGCUGAGAUCGCCUUGGGCGAACCCUCAUUACCUGAUCCGGUUAAUGCCGGCGUAGGGAAGCAUCUAUA